UACAGAGGGGGCAAGCGUUGUUCGGAAUUACUGGGCGUAAAGGGCGCGUAGGCGGCCUGCUAAGUCGGAUGUGAAAUCCCUCGGCUCAACCGAGGAACUGCAUCCGAUACUGGCGGGCUUGAAUCCGGGAGAGGGAUGUGGAAUUCCAGGUGUAGCGGUGAAAUUCGUAGAUAUCAGGAGGAACACCAAUGGCGAAGGCAGGUCUCUGGGCCACAACUGACGCUGAGGAGCGAAAGCGUGGGGAGCGAACAGG
rnacentral:rRNA from 1 species